rnacentral:lncRNA from 1 species
AAAACUAACUUGUAAUCAUUAUGCAUUCCAUACCUAAUGAACUCAUAAGCAUCCUUACCAACAACAUCACGAAUCAUUCCAAUAAAGGUUCCAUAUGCAGGCAACAAUGUGUUCUCUAUGGAUUUUAUCAUACGUUCCCUUAGCUGGUCAUCAAAGAUAAACCAUUCAGAUUGAGCUUUGCAUAUCUCAUUGAAAUGCUGGUUGAACAAUUUGAGCUUCUUUUUCAUAGACUCUGCUACCAACUCCCUUCUGUUUACUUUCAAAAGGUCCAAUAUAUUGUCACACGAGCUUCUUUGAUAGAGUUCAAUGUUCUGGUUGAUCUUUGAUUUGUACCAAUCUUGGCCUAAAAUGUCUCCAUAUAUACAGUAUUCCCCGUAUUGUAAAGACAUCAAUUAUUUAUCAUGAAAACAUGGCCUAAUGCUGGGUCUGUGUAGCUUCUGGAGUUGGCUUCCAAAUUUGAGUCUAACACUUUUAUUAUUCUACCCACCUUCUAUGAAAAUGAAGAUACUCCCUUUCUAAUUGGGAAAGUCUCAUCAUCUGUGAAAACUUCUCCGAGAUAAUCAAUCACUUUGUGGGUAGUUGGGUGAAUCCCACCAUUGGGAACACUCUCCUUUGCCACUUCACGGUGAAUAAGACUCUCCAACUCAACAAAAACACCCAAUCUCUUCCCAACAAGAAUUGCACCAUUUCUGAGUGAUUCACUGAACAACUGACCAUAAAACCGGCUCAUAGGGUUAAGGUUUGCACCUACUUAUAUACAAUGAAAGGCUCUAAUCUCUAGUCAGCCGAGGACUGCCAACUCGUGCGUGGGACUAUAUAUUAUGGGUGGUCCGAUAGCGGCCCGAUAGCGGGUGGCACGAUAGGCCCAACAAAUACUCGCUAGGAUAGGCUCGAAAUGGCUCUGAUACCAUAUUACGAAGUGGACUUUAAGCCUAACUCAACCCCAUAAAACCGGCACAUAGGGUUAAGGUUUGCACCCACUUAUAUACAAUGAAAGGCUCUAAUCUCUAGUCAAUGUGGGUUCUCCAACAAAAACAGUGAAUCAAACAUUGGAAUCAGGUCAAUCAAAGUCUUGAACACGUUGGAAUGACAUGGACCAGAUGGUAAGACCAUUGAUGAUUCUCAGUUGCUAAUGUAUUCACAAAUCUCAACAGACCGAUACUCAAUUCACUGCAAACCUCACUGAAUGCAAUAUCUGCAUUGUAAGACUCUGGGAACACAGAUCACAGAGAAUCCUUUCAUUGGGAAACAGUAUCCUCACAGUUAUGUUCAGAGCUUUUAUCAAACACUCUAUCUUCUCCAUCUUGUCAAAGUCCUCCACUUUGAGCUCUUCAACUUCCAAACCGAAUUUCGAUAAACACUGCUUCAGAAACAACCUCCUACUACUGCUGUACAAACUGCAACACUCAUUCUGAAACAUCACCCUCCCGGUUUGGCGAAGUUUGUUGAUGACCUCCACCGGUAGCAUGUCUUUCACCAAAUUGUCGUCAGCUUGUAUUUCCGGCACUGCAAUCUGGUCUUCCUUCACAACAUUAGUCUUAAGGUAUUCACCCACAAGCUUCCAAAUUGUGUCUAUAAACUUUUGAUUCUCCUUUUCAAGCUCUUCUAUAUGACUCAUAAAGUGGAC